rnacentral:rRNA from 1 species
UACAGAGGUCCCAAGCGUUGUUCGGAUUCACUGGGCGUAAAGGGUGCGUAGGUGGUCGGGUAAGUCUGAUGUGAAAUCUCUGGGCUCAACCCAGAAAUGGCAUUGGAUACUAUUCGGCUAGAGGAGUGGAGGGGGGACUGGAAUACUUGGUGUAGCGGUGAAAUGCGUAGAUAUCAAGUGGAACACCAGUGGCGAAGGCGAGUCCCUGGACACUUCCUGACACUGAGGCACGAAAGCUAGGGGAGCAAACAGG